ACGUAAUAGAUACCCUGGUAGUCCACGCCCUAAACGAUGUCUACUAGUUGUUGGUGGAGUAAAAUCCAUGAGUAAACGCAGCUAAACGCGUGUAGUAGACCGCCUGGGGAGUACGGUCGCAAGAUUAGAACUCAAAGGAAUUGACGGGGGCCCGCACAAGCGGUGGAUUAUGUGGAUUAAUUCGAUGCAACGCGAAAACCUUACCUGGCCUUGACAUGCCACUAACGAAGCAGAGAUGCAUUAGGUGCCCGUAAGGGAAAGUGGACACAGGUGCUGCAUGGCUGUCGUCAGCUCGUGUCGUGAGAUGUUGGGUUAAGUCCCGCAACGAGCGCAACCCUUGCCAUUAAUUGCCAUCAUUUAGUUGGGCACUUUAAUGGGACUGCCGGUGACAAACCGGAGGAAGGUGGGGAUGACGUCAAGUCCUCAUGGCCCUUAUGGCCAGGGCUUCACACGUAAUACCAAUGGUCGGGUACAGAGAGUUGCCAACCCGCGAGGGGGUAGCUAAUCCCAGAAAGCCGAUUGUAGUCCGGAUUGUUCU
rnacentral:rRNA from 1 species